rnacentral:rRNA from 1 species
UAGUCCACGCCGUAAACGAUGAUUACUCGGUAUUGGCGAUAAACAGUCAGUGCCCAAGCGAAAGCGUUAAGUAAUCCACCUGGGGAGUACGUUCGCAAGAAUGAAACUCAAAGGAAUUGACGGGGGUCCGCACAAGCGGGGGAGCAUGUGGUUUAAUUCGAUGAUACGCGAGGAACCUUACCUAGGCUAGAAUGCUUUUGGACCGAUGCCGAAAGGUGUUUUUCUCUUCGGAGACCGAUUGCAAGGUGCUGCAUGGUUGUCGUCAGCUCGUGCCGUGAGGUGUUGGGUUAAGUCCCGCAACGAGCGCAACCCCUAUCCUUAGUUGCCAGCGGGUAAUGCCGGGGACUCUAGGGAAACUGCCUACGCAAGUAGUGAGGAAGGCGGGGACGACGUCAAAUCAUCAUGGCCCUUACGCCUAGGGCUACACACAUGCUACAAUGGUCAGUACAAUGGGUAGCGACAUAGUGAUAUGAAGCCAAUCUCAAAAAGCUGAUCUCAGUUCGGAUUGG